rnacentral:rRNA from 1 species
CUACGGGAUGCACCAGUGAGGAAUAUUGGUCAAUGGGCGCGAGCCUGAACCAGCCAUCCCGCGUGCAGGAUGACGGCCCUAUGGGUUGUAAACUGCUUUUCUAUGCCAAGAAACCUGAUUACGUGUAAUCAGUUGCCGGUAGCAUAGGAAUAAGCAUCGGCUAACUCCGUGCCAGCAGCCGCGGUAAUACGGAGGAUGCAAGCGUUAUCCGGAUUCAUUGGGUUUAAAGGGUGCGCAGGUGGGCUUGUAAGUCAGUGGUGAAAUGCUGCCGCUUAACGGUAGAACUGCCAUUGAUACUGCGAGUCUUGAGUAUGGUUGAGGUGGGCGGAAUGUGUUGUGUAGCGGUGAAAUGCAUAGAUAUGAUACAGAACGCCAAUUGCGAAGGCAGCUUACUAAGCCAUUACUGACGCUGAGGCACGAAAGCGUGGGGAGCGAACAGGAUUAGAUACCCCCGUAGUC